rnacentral:lncRNA from 1 species
CAGCGUUCACCAUAAUCCAUAUUAUUAUGUGAAAGAUGCAUUUUAUGUCCUGCAUACAAAUUAGUUUUAGAUAUUUUUUGCCUGAGGAUCAGAGGGGUCAAGUGACUUGCCAAUGGUCACACAGCUAAUAAGUGUCAAGGUACAACCAGGUCUUCCUGACUCUAAGCCUAGUCCUUGACCCAGUACAGCUUGAUACUGCUGUACUCCACACAAGAGGCACUAGACAAGUUAAAAACCUGGGCGUCUCUCUCCUUCCCUUACUGUAGCCAUGAAAGCCAGCCUGAGGCCUUUCACACUGAACUUCACCAUCACCAGCCUCCACUAUUCGGCAGACGUGGGACGUCAGGACUCACACAAGUUCAAUAUCACAGACGCCAUUAUGCAGCAUCUGGUGAGACUGCGUACCUCCAGCCCUCCUGCCUAUUUGCCCUCAUGUCCUGACCAUGACCCGACUUACUCACCUUUUUUUUUUUUUACCAGCUUGGCCACUUGUUCAAAAACAGCAGCAUUGGCUCCCUGUACUUUGGAUGCAAGGUUCUUGAGCUCAGAUCUAUGAAGAAAAAGGAUCACAGACAGGUGUGAGUGCCCUCUGCACCUACCACCAGUUCCCCAGCAGCAUUGUUCUGGAUGCCAAGCAGGUUUUCCAUGAGCUGAGCAACCAGAGUCAUGGCCUCCAGAAAUUGGGCCUCUGCUACCUGGACAAGGACAGUAUUUACCUCAAUGGUAAGCAGUCUCAUGGUGGGAAGGCUUAUCCCAGUCCCCGCCUUUUGUCUCUUCCCCUCCUCAUCUGUUUUAAUUGGACAAUUAGCUUUUUCUUCUGACCACUGUGAACAAGGUUAUAAUCUCAUCCAGAAAUUCAGAGGACAAAAAGACAGACUUCUAGAGACCAUACCUGUUCACCUAAGGAGCCAUUUUCUCAGAGCUUUUUGACUUGCUCUCAUUUGAUGGCCACUGUAGAGAGCUUUCCUUGGUCCUGUUUUGUUCAAUAUUUUUAUCAGUGGCUUGGAAAACAAUGUAGAUGGAAGCCAAUUAUAGAUCCCGUGAGUUGAGGAGAGAAGAGGUAGUUGAUACCUUUUCUGGGUGGACCACAACCCAGAAAGUUGAGAUAAUGCGACAAACUUAACAAGGUAAAAUUUAAUAGGAAUAAAUGUAAAAUUCCACAUAAGUAUAGAAUAGGG